rnacentral:lncRNA from 1 species
CUCUUGAGCUCUUGUGGUGACCUGGGAAUCAAUGUGUGAGGUGGUGCUAUGUAGCAGGAACCCCUCUUGCUUUGCAAAUAGUUUUUUGUUUGUUUUCCUUUUUGCCCAAUAGAGCCCUGCUCUACUGACCCUUCAAUGUGCCCGUGUGCCUAAAUAUUCCUGGUCGUGUGAAAAGAACCCAGGUAUUAGCUGAACUAAGGAGCACAAUUCUGCAACAUUUUGGCACCCAAACACGGGGCUUGAGAAAUGCAGUCAAGCUCAACUUGCAGAACUGAUGGGAACCCCUUGGGAAAACUGGCCUCAAAUGUUUGUCUACACAGUCCACAUACAGGGUUCUUAACCUGCGCAUAUUUAACUAUCCGGCUAUUUUGGAGAUUGAAAAAAGAAGACCUGAUUUAUCAUGUGCAAUAUCUCACACAUCUGUCAUUUCUAUUCUACCGCAAUUCGAUGGAGUCUUGUUCUGUGGUCCAGGCUA